UUGCAGCCACAUCAUCUUGAAACACCUAUUCUCGUACGAUCACCGAAGUUAAGCAACGUCGAACCUGGUCAGUAGCUAGAUGGGUGACCGCUUAGGAAUGCCAGGUGCUGUAAG